rnacentral:rRNA from 1 species
UACGGGGGGAGCAAGCGUUAUCCGGAUUUACUGGGCGUAAAGGGCGCGUAGGCGGCCAGCACAAGUCAGUUGUGAAAUCUCCGAGCUUAACUCGGAAAGGUCAACUGAUACUGUGCGGCUAGAGUGCGGAAGGGGCAACUGGAAUUCUUGGUGUAGCGGUGAAAUGCGUAGAUAUCAAGAGGAACACCUGCGGCGAAGGCGGGUUGCUGGGCCGACACUGACGCUGAGGCGCGAAAGCCAGGGGAGCGAACGGG